UAGCAUAUCAAUAAGCGGAGGAAAAGAAACUAACAAGGAUUCCCCUAGUAACUGCGAGUGAAGCGGGAAAAGCUCAAAUUUAAAAUCUGUCAGUCUUUGGCUGUCCGAGUUGUAAUCUAGAGAAGCAUUAUCCGCGCUGGACCGUGUACAAGUCUCCUGGAAUGGAGCGUCAUAGAGGGUGAGAAUCCCGUCUUUGACACGGACUGCCAGGGCUUUGUGAUGUGCUCUCAAAGAGUCGAGUUGUUUGGGAAUGCAGCUCAAAAUGGGUGGUAAAUUCCAUCUAAAGCUAAAUAUUGGCGAGAGACCGAUAGCGAACAAGUACCGUGAGGGAAAGAUGAAAAGAACUUUGGAAAGAGAGUUAAACAGUACGUGAAAUUGCUGAAAGGGAAACGCUUGAAGUCAGUCGCGUUGUCCAGGGAUCAACCUUGCUUUUGCUUGGUGUACUUUCUGGUUGACGGGUCAGCAUCAAUUUUGACUGUUGGAAAAAGGUCAGGGGAAUGUGGCAUCUUCGGAUGUGUUAUAGCCCUUGGUUGUAUACAAUGGUUGGGAUUGAGGAACUCAGCACGCCGCAAGGCCGGGUACUUGUACCACGUACGUGCUUAGGAUGCUGGCAUAAUGGCUUUAAUCGACCCGUCUUGAAACACGGACCAAGGAGUCUAACAUGCCUGCGAGUGUUUGGGUGGAAAACCCGAGCGCGUAAUGAAAGUGAAAGUUGAGAUCCCUGUCGUGGGGAGCAUCGACGCCCGGACCAGACCUUUUGUGACGGUUCCGCGGUAGAGCAUGUAUGUUGGGACCCGAAAGAUGGUGAACUAUGCCUGAAUAGGGUGAAGCCAGAGGAAACUCUGGUGGAGGCUCGUAGCGAUUCUGACGUGCAAAUCGAUCGUCAAAUUUGGGUAUAGGGGCGAAAGACUAAUCGAACCAUCUAGUAGCUGGUCCUGC
rnacentral:rRNA from 1 species